CUAUGUCGGCUACUAGAUCAUUCGUUUCAUAUUCAUCUCUUGUGUCAGUGUUCCUUCAAGUUUUUUCACACGGUUCAAUCAGCUUUCAAAAAUUUGAAGGAACUUUUUAAAGUGUACAUCAAAAUUUCAGCAAAAAAAUUUAGACCCUGGUUUGGCUUAUUAGGAUUUUUUUGCUAAUUCUGAACCCAAAUUCCAGUUUCGUCGACAGUUGUUCUGUCAUCGAUUCAGCUAUUAACAUGGAAAUUUGAACGGUUAUCAGCAGCUUCAUCUGUGUAAUAAAGUGUUAUUAUCACCAAAUCAGACCCAAGCUUCAACAAUGGUGAAUUUCAAAGCUUUCUACCAAAAAGGUUUCCCGAUUCCGUAGGUAAAUUUCAAAUUCCAACUUCAAAAGACGGCACCAAACAAAUUUCAGCUACCAACUUCGCUUUUAGAGAUUCCAACAGACAACAUUAGAGUCUCGAAAUGCCUACCGACAUGAAAUUUCUCAGUUUAGUUUCUAAUGAUUUACUUACUAAGAGUGAAGCCAAAGAACGAUCCAGGGCAAAGUUGUUAGCUGUAAAUAUGACAAUAGUAAACCAGGGCAAAGCUGUUAGCUGUAAGUAUGACAAUGGCCAGCAAAAAAUAUCUAUUCUGUUUCUGUUCUUCCGCAGUCAUAUCAUCUGGCCCUCUUGCAUCCUCCAAGAUCCAGGCUUAUUCUGGUGAGUGUUGGUUGAAUUUUUGAAGUUCUUGCCUAAUAAUAUCUAUAGGUGUAGAUACAUGUGUUGUAUAGAUGUAAAUAUCUAUUCCUAUAUUAAUCAUUUGGAAGAAAAUUUGGUGCAUUGAUGCGAGAGAAGAGGAAACAGUUGACAAGAGAUAUCGGAGGUUUUUCAGCGAGGAGUGUCGAGUGUGUGACAGGUCCACUUGAGUUUAGUUCUGUGUGACAGGUCCACUUGAGUUUAGUUCCAGCGAAAAUGGUGAAAAUGCGUGUUAGAUAUUGUAUUUGACAGUGUUGGCCUUCUUCAAUGAAGGAAAGAGUUCACAACAAAGGACUAUAGUAAUGUGGCGAAGCCUUGACGCCAAUAGAUUCUUUAACCUUCUUCACAGGUCGGUUCUUUGUUGCUUUCUUUAUUGUUCCUCUUCGCCAUGACUUUAAUUUCUCUAAUUCUGGGUCUCACAAGUAUGUUUAAAAUAGAAGAAUAUAACCUUGCUCCAAUUUGUUGUGUAGACUACUUUUAACACUCCAAUACUCCACAUAUUUAGGUAAUACACAGAGAUGAGUUAACUGUUAAAGAAUUUUUGGAUAUAGUUUGUUUGAAGGAUUGUUUACCUUCUUUGUUUGUGUGGAUUACAUGGUGUAGAAUAUUUUCUAAUGUUUCUUCCUAAAAAAGUAUAGGAAGAGGAAGUUAUGUUGGAUGAUCGAAUAGCCCACAAUUAAAGACUAUAAAGAUGAUAUUAAUGAAAAAUGAUUUUGCCUUAUGUUAUCUGGUUUUUUAUAUAAAUUGAUUUCGUCUUUAAAAUAUUAUCUCAAUGGUGAAGGAAAAGAGAGAAAUUAACAUGGAUGCACUUUUUAAGAAUGCAGAAACCCAUGAAACAAAUAACAUGAAAAAUGGGUGCGAUAAUGUACUUGAAGUAGAAAGGUCACACAAAUUAUAUCAGUUUACCAUUGGAAAAAAAUGUUCAAGACGUCACAUGAGAAAUGAAAACACGAAACCUUGCAAAUAUUUAGUUGAUAAAACUAAACAAAUCACAAAGAUAAAGAACAAUCAACUUUGUUCAUACUUUUCAACUUAGUUGAAAUUUGUCAUUAAUAUGUUCUAGGGCAGCAAUUAUUGAAACUUUUGAUACAUUUUAGAGACUCCAAUCUAGAUUUUUCAAAUGAUAUUAGAAAAGAUCCAUCAAAUGAGCAACUGAUGUAGCAAAGAUUUUUGAUAAUACGCCCAAAAUAACUGAGUAGUUUUUCUUUGAUGCUCUACAUCUUGAAGCUAAUUAUUUUACUUCUCCGAAUUUGAUUUUAUUAUUUUAAUUAGUUGAGUUGUAUUUUCUUAGUUGAGUUGAUAAUGAGGGUUAAUGUAUGGAUUCAUGUGCUCCAUACUUGCUAUUUAAAUUUGAUCCUCAACCAACAUGGCCUCAUCUUAAUGAUAUCAUUAGCAAGUAUAGCAACUAAGCAUUCAACUUAAUAGUGACAUAUUAUCUCGCAAGGGUCAUUAGAAUUGGAUCGAGAUAUUGCCAGUGUAUUUUGUUUUACAUGAUUUUAAAGUCACUAAUAGAUAUUACUGUACAGGCCACAGGAGAUGCCCUUUGGUGUGAAGACUCGUACUUCCACAAAUAUGACACAAUUUUUUGUUCCACGAGUUAGUGGUAAGGUUAGCUUACAUUCUACCCUUCUCAUACCUCAUUGAUCAGAUUUCAUUGAAUAUGUUAUUGGCCUCCUCAUCUUUCGAAGGAAGAGUCUGGAGGAGCUGAAUGAAUUUUCAUGUGCACUGUAGACAAAUCUUUGCCAUUGUAUUAUUCAAGAGGUGAAAUUGUUGGUGUGAGCCCAAAUACAUAUGUCCAAUCAAAUACAUGUAUUGAUAGUAUAUGUGCAAGUGAUUUUUGCUUCUUGAGCAGUCUCUUGCCUAUUUUCAUAUUCAUCGAAUUGAAAUAUUUUGUUAUAAGAAUAAUGGUGUAUAUAUUGGUUCAUUUUUUUUAAUGGGAGUUGUACAUUUCUAACAA